rnacentral:lncRNA from 1 species
ACUUAAUGUGACUUAUGUGAGAUCAAAUCACCGGAGAUCAAUCAAUGUGAGAUAGGAAAGGUAAAAAUGAACCAUAUUUAAACUUUAUUAACAACCGAAAUUGAAAUAGAAUCUGAAAUAUGUACAUGAAUAAUACUGUGAAAUGAAAACCAAUUUCAGCAAAGCGAAAGUAAAUAAGAGAGCUAUUCAGAAACUGCGAGUGACCCAAAGGAAAUGAAAUUAGGGUGAAACUAAGAGGCUACACGAGGAAAUUAAAGAAUAAUGUGACAACUUAAGACUGUCCUCUGCAUUUGAGAAUACUUCUAUAAUUUUUACACAACCUACCUAAUACUUCAUGCCCAGUAAAAAUUUCAAGAAAAAUCGGAAGAGAAAAGUGUUCUAAGUAUUUCAUAUUAGGUAUUUGAUUCAUUUUUAUUGGGGAAAAAGAACAAUUCACUAUUUCAGUCCAUACAUAUGAGUAAAAAAAAAAGCAUAACAUAAAUUUACAAAAUCUGACAACUUGAACAUAUUUGUGCAUGUAAAGACAUACGGAGAACAGUUGACUAAGUACCUAACUCCAUACAAGAGUAAAAAACACAUAAUAGAAACUUAUAAAGUCGAACAGCCUGCAUAUAUUUGUUCAUGUAAAAAGGUAGGCAUACAAAGACAAAACUUACUGCUGAGGGCAUUCUAUACUGGUCUUAGUGUAUUUCAGUCCUGCAGAGCAUAAUCUGAUUCUCAUUAAGUAUUCUGAAAAGAUUUUAAUAUAAGCAGCUGCCUUCCCUGGUAAAAAUUGGCUGUAUCGCUGUCACAGCACUGAAGGAGAAAGGGGAAAAAAUGAACACUUGAGAUUCACUUAACGGAGCGAACAAAUACGAUAUGUGACCUACACUAAUGUGAGAGUGAGUUGAGAAUUUGAUUUUGUGAAUUGUGUGAAAAAUUGAUGCUGAGAAAUUGCCGUUAAUCCCCUGUCCAGGGCUUUUUUAAAUAGUUAAAAAUUGCAAAACAUACAGGAGACCGACGUCCCGAGUAGUAGACAGGGCAAGUUGUUAUAGUCGGAUGGGCCUGGAUAUUGAGACCAUUUAUCGUAGAUAUUGACGCUCUCAGUCUGAAAAAAUAGAAAGAAAGGCGGCAAGGCAUCAAAAUCAAUCUAUGGUACUUACUGUUGGAAAGGAACAUGAACAUUUAAUCAUCAUGCUACGCACUUUCACAGCUAUAAGGAGGGUAUGAGAAGUAAAUUUCUAGACUUUUGAAUGACACGAAAAAAGAAUGAAUUAAGGCGUGUUGAUCAGCGCAUGAUAAGUUCUAGGGCGGACUCAUCAUAUGUUGAGACAAAAGUCAAUCUCUGAUUGCCUCCAAAUCAGCAUCACUCAACAGGUUAAUACAUGUAGUCAGAUGGCACCACUGAUGAGUGGUGAUGUAAACAAUACUUGACUUUUGUCUCGACAUACAAUGCAUCCGCUCUAUGUACUUAUAGUUCUAGGCACCAGGCAAUUUUAACUAAUGCUCAUUUCUAAGUUUGAUUCCUCUGUUUCUAGCGAG